AGAUUAAGUUAUUAAGGGCGCACGGUGGAUGCCUUGGCACUAGAAGCCGAUGAAGGACGUUACUAACGACGAUAUGCUUUGGGGAGCUGUAAGUAAGCUUUGAUCCAGAGAUUUCCGAAUGGGGAAACCCAGCAUGAGUUAUGUCAUGUUAUCGAUAUGUGAAUACAUAGCAUAUCAGAAGGCACACCCGGAGAACUGAAACAUCUUAGUACCCGGAGGAAGAGAAAGAAAAUUCGAUUCCCUUAGUAGCGGCGAGCGAAACGGGAAGAGCCCAAACCAACAAGCUUGCUUGUUGGGGUUGUAGGACACUCUAUACGGAGUUACAAAGGACGACAUUAGACGAAUCAUCUGGAAAGAUGAAUCAAAGAAGGUAAUAAUCCUGUAGUCGAAAAUGUUGUCUCUCUUGAGUGGAUCCUGAGUACGACGGAACACGUGAAAUUCCGUCGGAAUCUGGGAGGACCAUCUCCUAAGGCUAAAUACUCUCUAGUGACCGAUAGUGAACCAGUACCGUGAGGGAAAGGUGAAAAGCACCCCGGAAGGGGAGUGAAAUAGAACCUGAAACCGUGUGCUUACAAGUAGUCAGAGCCCGUUAAUGGGUGAUGGCGUGCCUUUUGUAGAAUGAACCGGCGAGUUACGAUUUGAUGCAAGGUUAAGCAGUAAAUGUGGAGCCGUAGCGAAAGCGAGUCUGAAUAGGGCGUUUAGUAUUUGGUCGUAGACCCGAAACCAGGUGAUCUACCCUUGGUCAGGUUGAAGUUCAGGUAACACUGAAUGGAGGACCGAACCGACUUACGUUGAAAAGUGAGCGGAUGAACUGAGGGUAGCGGAGAAAUUCCAAUCGAACCUG
rnacentral:rRNA from 1 species